rnacentral:rRNA from 1 species
UACGGAGGGGGCGAGCGUUGUCCGAAGUUAUUGGGCGUAAAGGGCGCGCAGGCGGCCACGCACGUCCGUUGUGAAAUCGCCCGGCUCAACUGGGCGGGGUCAGCGGAUACGGCGUGGCUGGAGCAAGCUAGGGGGCAAUGGAAUUCCCGGUGUAGUGGUGGAAUGCGUAGAUAUCGGGAGGAACACCAGUGGCGAAGGCGGUUGCCUGGAGCUUUGCUGACGCUGAUGCGCGAAAGCGUGGGGAGCGAUCCGG